CAUUAAGAAGCUAUAAUAGCACUAACCUUUUAAGUUAGAGUAUGAGAACACAGAAUUCUCCUUAAUGA
ensembl:Mt_tRNA